UGGACUUAAGAAAAACAUUAAAACAGUGCUGGACUCAGGCAGAGUCCACCCAGUGCAGGAAGAGACUCGGACCCAGGCAAGAGCCCUGCCGUACCUGGGUGUUCACAACCUGCUCACCUGCUUGGCCUACGAGCUGUGCCUGGCCUUCUCCUUGUGACUGAGGCCUCUUCUAAACAGGCCCCUGUCCAGCUGGGUAAGCAGGAGUAGGCUAGGGCACCACUUAUCCACCCUGCAUGCAGCUCCUCGAGAGAGAAUGUCAUCCACUUCCCAUGACGGGGGCUACGAGGUGGAACCCAGUUUGACCCCUGACCUGGAGGCCUGUCUCUGGAGGACGCAGUACCCAGCAUUUGAACCUCUACCCCAGGCUGUCUGCCUUUUCCUAGGCAAGGCAUAGGCACCUGGGUGUUGGGCCAGGCAUGCCCCAGGGCCCUGUACUACACCCACUGCUUGCCUGUUCCUACCUUUAGACUCUUAUGAUCUGAGGCAGCCUAUCUCUGGUCUCCUACCCUAGGGUGCCUCUCUGGAUUUGGUCCCAGGAGGGAGCCCCACCCUCCCAGGACCUAGGGUAUUGGAUGCUGGCAGCUCCCGGCCUCCUGGCUAUCAGCCUGGCUGAACUGUGAAGAUGGAGAAGCUGUCCAUCUCAUUAUCAAGAGCAUGAACUUUAAUUGUGUUUGAGCAGCGCGAGGCCAGGUGUGGAAGAAGAGGAAGCAAGAUCGAUGGACCAUGGCGAGAGGUGUCUGAGUACCCAAUUAGGUCAUGUCCAGGAUUUGCUGUCCCUCUCCAGGGUGGGCAGCCUUGUCCCCAGGGUUGUCUUCUGCCCUGGCAUUCUGGAUUCUGUCUGUCUACUCAGGCCUGUCCAAGAGCUCCACAGCUGAGGGACUCUGUGCAUGCUGCUGACCAGCCCACCUCUUUUUGCUCAGCCAGAAGUGAGUUUGUGCCCAGGGUGGCCAUCUCCACCCUCUGAGGCCUGGCCUGAAGACCCCAAGAGGAGGUGGGGGGCCUGCAGCCACACAGUAAGGCCCCUGGCAAGUGGUGGCAAGUCAAGACUCCGACAUCCUCAUGCCACUCCUUCCUUAUCCCUCUCUGAGUCCUGGCUUCCUAGUUGUGCUGGAUGAGACCGUGGAUUCAACGGGCUGUGAGGCGUUCUGCAAAUGGACAUCCCUGUGGCAAGGGUGAAUGGCUUUGGGAACCUCUCUGUUGUCCCGGUUGCUAAUGCUGAACCUGGUUGGUCCUGAAGCACUGCCCUUCUCAGCCCUGCGGGGGCCCCCAACACCCCUGGCUCUUGUGUCUCCUUCCUGUAGGGCCUUGCCUCUUCUCUGCUCUCCCUCUGGCCAUCCCCUCAGUUCUCUGAGGACCCGUGUGGCUCUCGGUCCUGUCUGGUCCCUGGAGUCAUUCAGUCCUCCCUCCUAUCCCCUCCUGUGGCUCCUCUGGGUGGGUGGCCCACCCCUGUCCCCCAGGUGGGCCCUGAAUGACCUUUCCCUGUUUGGCCAAGAUGUGAUAGGGUGGCUGUCACUGCAAAGGAAACCCAGUGCCAGGACUCAGCCAACAUGCACGUUCCUUCUUGCCCUUUAGUCCAGCCUCCCACCUGCUGAGGAGCCCCAUGGAACUGAAUUGUGCUAAAACUCAGUGGCAUGAAAAAGCCACCAUGGAGUUCAACAUCAGGAUGUAGACACAGCUCAUUGGGGUUGGGUAGUAUCUACUCUGCUGUCUGGAGCCUCCAGUGGGAAGACUUGAGAGGCCAAGGGUGACUUGGACAGCUGGAGGCUGAAGACUCUUCCACUCUGCCUCUGAUAACGUGGGCUGGGAUGUCUCAGGCCAGGCUCAGCUGCACUGUUCAUUGGAUUGUCUCCAUCUGGCCACUUUGCACAGCUUGGGCUUUCCCACAACGUGGCCGCCCCACGUGCUCAGACUUCUCGUGUGGCCCUUCAGUUCUUCUUGUGUGUGUUGCAGUCAUGGAAGGUACACAGUGUCACUUCCCUUGGUGCUUUGUAGUUAAGUGAUCGAAACCUGCCUGGUUCAAGGGGAGGGACCUGGGUCCCACCACCAGUGACAGAAGCAUCCAGGGAUCCAAGGCCAUGGUUUAAGCCCCCCAAGGACCUUAGAAUAAUCUGGUCCCUGUGCUGGUUACAGUGGUCAAAAUUGCUUGCCUCAAAAUUUAGGGAUGAAAUCUGGUUACUGUGCUUGCAGGCUCAGUGAGUCAGGAUUGCAGCAGGGCCAAGCCACAGCUUCUCUGCACCUUGAAGCCUUGAGGUAAGGCUUGAACCCAUGGCGACUGGUUCUAGCCCCUCCAGCAUCCUGGCCCUGCUGCCUGUUGGUGGAGGUUGACCUGGGGUCUCGGCAGGACUCCAUACCAGUCUCUUCUAGUGUCGUGUUUCGGGAUCACGUCUUGACAAGGAGCCAGCCCUGUUUUGUUUUCUGGCCUUGCAGAUUGUGCAGCAUCUCUGCCAGGUUCUGUCUGUCCAGGACCAGGAGAUGGACCAUCAUCCCCAGUUGGCAAGCCAUGCCAGUGUCACUUUGCAGGACGAGUGAGUGGGUGGUUCGUAUCACUGUCUCUGGGAGAUGCAGCCCUCUGUGCUUGUCCCCCAGCAGCCUGGCCUCCUCCUGGCCCUGGGACCUGCUGGACCUGCUUCCACCCUUUGCACUUGACCCUUGGCCUGAAGCCUUGCUCCGUACACUGGAGCAGCUCCCUUCACCAGUGGGCUCAGACUAGAGUGCUGCCCGCCUCCGGAGCCCACCCUCCUGAGCUCUGUGGGACGUUCUUUGAUUGCCUGGGUACUAUUACUGCCUUUUGUUGGAGCAUAAGCCCCAUGGAGUCUGCAGUUUGGCAUUUCUGGUUAUUGUUUUCCUGGCACGGCAGAGGAUCCUGACACCAGGGGUGCCAGUGACCAUUUGUGUGGAAACAUGCAGGUGGGUGGAGGUCUGAGUGCCAGGUAGGUAGGUGAGGGUGUCUGUGGGAACUCUGGGAGUGGGUGCUGCUGCUGCUGUGGGCACAGCUUGGGCCCACACAAGACCCCUGGGGGUGGGUGUGCAGGGGCUGAGGUUAGCAAAGGAGGAGCAGAGGCUCAGGGGUCACAGCUCAUGUGUGGACGAGCUCACGGGACUCUCGGCCAGUUGGCCUGGCUUCAGAACAGGGCUGUGCCGCUGCGAUGCUCUCACAGCUGCCUCGUGGUUAGUCCCAUUUCAGAGGAGGAAAGAGCCAGCCCACGAGGCCAGCCACCCCUAUGGUGUGACUUGACCCCUGGCCACAGGUGCUGCACCAGUCUGCAGGAUAGCAGACUCUGACUUGUCCCUGGGCCAUGAGGUUGAAGAGAUGGACACGUGGCCCUGGGCCACUGCGCAUAUGUGACAGCCCUGUGGCACUGUCCAGCUCCCUGGCCUCUGCCCAGCCUACUCUGCCCACUGGCCAGAUGCUGCAUGUGCUGCGUCCCCUCACCUUGCCCGUCUCACCUGCUGGAGUGUCCUAGCUGUCCUGUCACCCAGCUCAGGUGCAGGCGCUGAGCAUAAUACCAGCAGCAUGUUGCCGUGGCUACCUGGCAGGCCCAGGAGGGCGGAGGACCAGAUGAGGAGGCUGCCUAGAGCCCCAGCCGCCCUCCCUGCACUGGGCGCACACAGCUGGUGGCAGGGGUGUGAUUGGUGUGGCUACUGUCAGCUAUGGGUAGGUGAAUAAAAUAAGUAAACAGAAUUUGACUAUUCCGUUAAGUGCAAUUGUGGGUCGAUGGUGCCAGGAUUCUAACUGAGGAGAGAGUAUGUGAUUGAGACAAGUGCAGUGGUGUUCUCUUGUCCGUAAAAGCAGAGGAAACAUACCACACGUGUGUGCAUGAGCACACACAACACACAUAUGCCGAGGUUUUAUUAUGUCCGUGUGAGGUGGCUCCGUGGUAGCAGUGAGGGGAGAUUCUAUGAGAGCACUCAGGAGUUCUGGGUUUAGAGGAAUCAUGAUUCCAGCCUUUACCAAGUGCUGGUGUUGGCCAGUUUCCCAUGGCCUCCUGCCUCCAGCUGCCUGUGUCAGCAUGUGCAGCUACAGCACCUGGCCGCUAAUCCUGCCCUGGGCCUGCUUGAUGCCCCAGAGGGCUCCCUCCUGGGCAGCCCCUGAUCCAGGUGGGAGGGUGUUAGGGCUUGUAGGUCCCUUGUCCUUAGGCCCAGUAUCGACCUGUGUCACUCCAGACCUCAAGGCAGACUUCUGCCUGGGAAUGGCUCCCACCCUGUCUCCAGGUGUAUGUGGGGGCUGGGCCUCACUGGGAUCUGCCCAAUGCCCAUGUGGUGAUGGCAAUCAGGGGGAUCCCUUCUGGACCAGCUGCCCACCUCAGAUCGCCCUGGCACCAUGGGCCCACUAGAGACGCACGGUCUAGGUCCCACCUGCCUGGUUCUGCUAUCACUGCAGGUCCAUUUGGGGCCCCUCAUCCCUCUGUUUCGCACAUGGCAUUGGGUGCUGGAGGGGGAGACGUAGCUGGGAAGCCAUGCCUUAUUCCUGGAGAAGGGGAUGAAAGCAAAUGUUCACCUUCCUGAGGGAGCUCCUGCAGAGGGCCUGGGGCCUCGGGGCACCCAGGGCCACAGGGGCUGUCUUCAGGGCACGGGUGCCCAUUCCUGUUCAUCCUGGAGGCCAGAUGGGGCUCCUCCGAGAGCUCGUGUGGCUGGGUUCACCUGUGCUCUGAGCAGCACCAGGAGAUCCCCACAGCCACGGUGGUGUCCUGGCCUCCUGGAGGUGGCCUGGGUUGCAGGCCUCACGUGGGGACAAGGGACAAGGAGGGGUCUGUGGCCUCAGGCUCACCAUGCCGUGCCUGCAGGCCUCUCUGUGUCAGUGGAGGUGGGACCUGAGGCGCCCCGGCUGCUCUGCUGGCCCCAGGGCAGAACCGAGGUUUCCUUUUGUCCAAGAUGGUUGGUGUGCAUUGAUCAGGGAGCCCCACGGAGGGUCUGAGCAGUGUGAGCAGGCCUUCUGUGUCCCAUAGAGAAGGCGGGGGACGUGGGACUGGCCUUGCUCCUGCACCCGCCGCUGCCCUGCCUGCUGAGCAGCAUGGUGAGGAGAAGGGAGCCCGGGAGGAAGGGGCUCUUCCUGUGAAAGCUCACGUGGGACUCCAGGCCGGCCAGUAGAACAUCUGGUGUGGCCCUGACGGCAGGGGUCAGAGCCCUUGCUGGGGCAGUCUUGGUCACUCUUCUGGAAGCCACUGCCUUCUCGCAGUCUGUGUCCCCCGCACCAGCCCUGGGUGUCUGUGUGUGUCCCCGCACUACUGUGGUACAAAUUAACUUCCCAUGUGUCCGAGCUCAUGCCAGUGGACAGUUGUCACUGUUCCCAUGCCCCUUUCUGCUGAGUUCAGCAGGAAUAGACUGAGUCCUUUGCUGUGCCUGUCCUCUGUCCUCUGUGACAGAGCUUGCUGGGGCCCUGACAGGUGCUGUGUGUGUGGUUAGUUGGGCCCGUGGGGACCUGGCUGGGGCACCCACAGCCCGUGAUAGACAGCGAUGGCCAGGCAGUGGCAGCCAACAUGCAGCCAGACCUAGCCACAGCUGAGGGCACCCCGGGCUGUGCAGAAGGCCCACAGCAGCCGCAGCACACCCACUGUGAACUGGAGAGCAGCCUCAGCCACCCCACCUCCAGUGAGCUCACGACCCACAGCGAAAGCCCUUGUGCCCUGUUGGUGCGUCAGGGGUUGGACCCGAGGACGCCCAAGCUCGUCCCCCCUGCUGAAGGAGUCGGUGCUCCCAGGCAGAGAACAGCUAGUGCAGUGAGCAUGUGGAGCUGUGGGGAGAAGCAGGCUGGGCUGCGGGAAGGACAGCUGCUCUGCUUCCACCUGCCAGUAGCCUGGGCCUCCUGGGCCGUGGGGUCCCUAGGCCUGUGGUCCUGCCCUUGAUUCUCCUCCCUGCCCCUGAUUUUCUCCAUGUCCCCUCACUAAGGCUGGGGCCUAUAGGCUGGGCAGGGGCUCUGAGCCCUACCUCCUGCAGGACAGCCCGGCACCCUGAUACCAGUGACCCUCUGCAGCUCCUGCUCGUGGAAAGAAGCGCUCGUGCGUGCACGUGAAGCCUGUCCCUUCUGGCCCCUGCACCAUGGGAAGUCCUGGGCACCGCCAGCUCCCUGUGGGUGACUGAUGUGUAGGUAGGGACUGGGCUUGGGUUGGCCUUGGGUUUGGGUGCUGGCUCUAGCAUUUCCUAGCUGUGUGUCCUAUGUAAGCUGCCCUCUGUGCGACAGCUUGCUCCCCUGCCCUCUCUGUGGAGUGAACUGCCUGGUGGGGAGAGGCGUGACUUGCAGCCUGUGGAGCCCAUAGGAAGGCCUCAGGAGUCUGCCACCCAGUGUAGCCAAGGCCGGGCUUGGGGCGCGGGCCUUGGCAUGGGCAGUGACCAGAGCCAGGCUUGGUGCUUGGCAGGGUCAGCGCCUGCUCUUUGAAAGAGCUGUGUCAGUAACCUGGAAAUCUGCGGAGGUGGGAUCAGUCUGCGGCCUGGCUGAACAAGGAGCCCUCAGCUUGACAUUGACGUCUCCAUCCUAGGCUGCACUCACAGCCAGGAACCCCAUUUCUAGAGCAUGUGGUUG
rnacentral:lncRNA from 1 species